UGCAUUAACAAGCAAAAAGGUACGCUUGUGUGACAGUAAAUCCAGGGUAAAUCACUUAGAGGAAAACACGGAAGUGUCUUGAAUAAAAGCUCGUGAUCUACACUGUUUCGCAGUUAGCAUCGUGCAUGAAAUAUACUUAGCUGUUUUUUGUUUUUUCGAUCCCUUUGAACAAGCUCAGCUCAAGCAACUUCUUUGUUUAACGCCGGCACAAGGUUCUCACACACAACAUGGAUAUUCCGUGGGUGGCCAUCAUCAUGUUAAUCUGUUAUCCAUUUUCGUCUGCAGACGAUAACGAGAAUUCCAAUCCGGAUCUUGCACCAGUACCUUUCCCGAUCUUCUCGGCCGAACCAAUGGCACAGGAUCAGUGUCGCAUGCAGUUUACUGAUAACUGUCGGUCGCGGGAAACCCUAGCCAGUAAUUGUCCUAGUAGUCCGGUAUUACAAAUCAGUUGUGACAGCAACGCCACAUCCGAAAUUCAACGAAUGGCGACGGCAUUUGCCAGGCGUCCCUUGCGAGCCGUAUGGGUCGCACUUAAUGACGGCGAACAAGUGGUGUUCCAGAAUAUCGCUCCGGUACACAAUCAGGUCAUCGGAUUCUCUUUUACAACUGUACAUCCGCUCGCGCAACUGGGAAAUUGCCUGCAUUACGCUUGUCCAAUCUGCUGGAAUUGUCCUUAGAAAACUGCUAUAGUUUGAAAUUUUGCCGUGCAGAUUUCCGGUCGUCCUUGAAAGUUCGCGUGAUCAAUUUUGUCAACACGACCAUUCAGUCACUGGAAAGAGAUACAUUUACCGAUCUUCCCGCGUUGCGGUUGCUGUCAUUGGAAGCCGGGUUAGCACGCAUGCCGUCAUUCAGCAGCGAAAUUCGAGCGCACUUAAAAGAGCUGCAUUGCGGUGAAACUUUCGAAUGGUUCCGGGAAUGCAGCAUCUGCUGAAGAGCGCACAGGAAUAUGAAGCGUACCAAAUCUAUCCUUUUCGAUGGGGCCGUGAUCCCAGGAAUAAAAGCGAUAUUUAUUUGCCCGUCGAUUGCGCAGCAAAACCGUUUCCUAGCGGAGUAGCGUCUACAGAUUUCCAACAAGAGCGAUUCUCUGUUAACGAUGACCUUUAUAUAGAAACAUGGCAGCCUGGUAACGCCAACGAUACAGAUGCGGAUGAUAGAUAUCCCGAGUUCUCUGUCGAACCCUUGUCCGCGGAAGAAUGUGCUACGCAGGAAUUAUGCGACUGCUUACGGCAUGAUUGUGGAGAGAACAGUACACGUCUCGCAUACGAAAUUUACGACUACGGCUACUGCAAUACCAGGAACGCGGGUUUAGAGCGCACCCAUCGUGCGGUAACUGCGAUGAUCCGACUACCAGUUCGACCGGUCAUAAUGAACCUUGAGGAUAGCACAUACUUCAACUACGUUCAGCGAUAUGGCGCCGAUCCGUAAGCGGAUCGUCAUAUUUCGGCUGCGCAAUUGCGUAAAAGAGCGAGCCACAGAAAGCCUUCGCAGUUUGUACUGGACAAAUCUUCUGGAGUUUAUGACUUUGAACUGCUCCGAUCUGGUUAUUAUGAAAAACGAUUUUGAGAACUCAGUGAAGCUGCGACAGAUUUUGUUCCGGAAUACAACCAUCCGGACGUCGCAGGAGGACACGUUCACGAAUUUACCGUCGCUCGUGGCACUAUCGCUGGAAUACUGUCUGAAAAAUUUACCAACAUACGAAGAGAUGACGAUCGAUUCUUUUCAGCCGGUUAUGUAUACCAAACGCACCCGUGACUAUCUUUUUCACCUGCACUGCGGCUGCGAGUUUGCCUGGUUUCGACGAUGGUGGAGCAACAAUACAGACCGAUUUACCCAAAAUAUAGCGGAAACCGGCGGAGUGUACGAUCUGUUUGCUGUUGCUUCCACCUUUAACAAGUACACUCAGGAACAAAUCCCGAUCGACUGUGCAAAGCCAAUUCCGAUUGGAGCGGCAUUUGUAAAUGCUAAUCAAAGUGAAUUUUCUGUGAACGCUUUAGAAUGCUAAGAUGCCUUCUGUUUUGAGCAUAUUGUUGCUUAAUAGAACAUACUCAUGAAUCAUAAUCAUUUAAUUGACCGGAAAU